rnacentral:rRNA from 1 species
UACGUAGGGUGCAAGCGUUAAUCGGAAUCACUGGGCUUAAAGCGUGUGUAGGCGGAUCGUUAAGUACCUUGUGAAAUCCCACGGCCCAACCGUGGAAGUGCCUCUGAUACUGCCGGCCUCGAGGGGGGAUAGGGGCGUGCGGAACUCAGGGUGGAGCGGUGAAAUGCGUAGAUAUCCUGAGGAACACCGGUGGCGAAAGCGGCGCGCGUGGAUCCCUUCUGACGCUGAGGCGCGAAAGCCAGGGGAGCAAACGGG